CCAAUAGCGUAUAUUAAAGUUGCUGCAGUUAAAAAGCUCGUAGUUGAAUUUCGGGACCAUCAUGUCGGUCGUGCCUCGGUACGUACUGGCAUUGUUGGUUUCUCCCUUCUGACGAACCAUGAUGUCAUUAAUUUGGUGUCUUGGGGAAUCAGGACUGUUACUUUGAAAAAAUUAGAGUGUUUAAAGCAGGCUCGCGCUUGAAUACAUUAGCAUGGAAUAAUGAAAUAGGACGUUUGAUUCUAUUUUGUUGGUUUCUAGGAUCGACGUAAUGAUUAAUAGGGAUAGUUGGGGGCAUUAGUAUUCAAUUGUCAGAGGUGAAAUUCUUGGAUUUAUUGAAGACUGACUACUGCGAAAGCAUUUGCCAAGGAUGUUUUCAUUAAUCAAGAACGAAAGUUAGGGGAUCGAAGACGAUCAGAUACCGUCGUAGUCUUAACCAUAAACUAUGCCGACUAGGGAUCGGAUGAUGUUAAUUUUUUAAUGACUCAUUCGGCGCCUUACG
rnacentral:rRNA from 1 species